rnacentral:rRNA from 1 species
UACAGGGGGGUGCAAACGUUGUUCGGAAUUACUGGGCGUAAAGGGCUCGUAGGCGGCCAACUAAGUCGGAUGUGAAAUCCCCAGGCUUAACCUGGGAACUGCAUCCGAUACUGGAUGGCUUGAAUCCGGGAGAGGGAUGCAGAAUUCCAGGUGUAGCGGUGAAAUGCGUAGAUAUCUGGAGGAAUACCGGUGGCGAAGGCGGCAUCCUGGACCGGCAUUGACGCUGAUGAGCGAAAGCUAGGGGAGCAAACGGG